CCUACGGGAGGCAGCAGUGGGGAAUAUUGGGCAAUGGGCGCAAGCCUGACCCAGCAACGCCGCGUGAAGGAAGAAGGCUCUCGGGUUGUAAACUUCUUUUAUCAGGGACGAAGCAAGUGACGGUACCUGAUGAAUAAGCCACGGUUAACUACGUGCCAGCAGCCGCGGUAAUACGUAGGUGGCAAGCUUUAUCCGGAUUUACUGGGUGUAAAGGUCGUGUAGGCGGGAAAGUAAGUCAGAUGUGAAAACCAUGGGCUCAACCUGUGGCCUGCAUUUGAAACUGGUUUUCUUGAGUACUGGAGAGGCAGACGGAAUUCCUGGUGUAGCGGUGAAAUGCGUAGAUAUUAGGAGGAACACCAGUGGCGAAGGCGGUCUGCUGGACAGAAACUGACGCUGAGGUGCGAAAGCGUGGGGAGCAAACAGGAUUAGAUACCCUAGUAGUC
rnacentral:rRNA from 1 species